UACGUAGGGUGCAAGCGUUGUCCGGAAUUAUUGGGCGUAAAGAGCUCGUAGGCGGUUUGUCGCGUCUGCUGUGAAAACUCGGGGCUUAACCCCGGGCCUGCAGUGGGUACGGGCAGACUAGAGUGCGGUAGGGGAGACUGGAAUUCCUGGUGUAGCGGUGAAAUGCGCAGAUAUCAGGAGGAACACCGGUGGCGAAGGCGGGUCUCUGGGCCGCAACUGACGCUGAGGAGCGAAAGCGUGGGGAGCGAACAGG
rnacentral:rRNA from 1 species